rnacentral:misc_RNA from 1 species
AAGAAGUCAGACCUUCUCUGUGCUAGUUACGCCGUCAGAUUAAAAUAUGCUGUUCUGGACUAUUUUGUGUCUGGCCGUCCUGAGCUGCCAGUCUCUAGGGGCGGAUCAGACCAGUGUGGUGGAUGAAUUCAAUGACGCGCUUGAGGAGGGUCUCCAGAGUGUCCGAGUCCUCAUACAAAACACCGAGUCACACCUCCCCUCCGCCGUCAACAAGGCAUUCGACUAUUUUAAUCGACUUCAGGACAAACCAAACGGGUAUGGUAUUAAUGUAAUUUUACUUUAUUGCUCGCGGAAAUCAAUCCCCGCGGAUUAGUUCUCAAUAAUACUGUCCAGUCGCGAAUGCGGAAGGAUGCGUAUAUACAUGUUAUACCUGAUUUUCGUUUUUCAUGGAUUUAUAAUAAAAGUUUGAUUGUUUUUAAACCAAAAAAAAAUCAUCUUUUGAUUAAAUAAUUCUUUCGAAAUUUCAAGUUCGAAAAUGACUGAAAAUACUAUAAUACUAAUGGUAUUUUAUGACAUUUUAGAUCAAAUUACAGUGUUUGGUAAAAUGUACAUGUUGGCGAUGCAUGUACUUUCUUUAACCACUUGUACAUGUAACAAGUACGAUUCGUGAUUUUUUUCUUUUUUUCAUUGAUGAGGAGAUAUUGAUGUCAGAAUAAAAAAAAAACAUUUACAAGUGUAAUUGAGCACUAGUAACCUAUGCACAAUUAUCAAAUGCUUUAGUAUACAUGCAUGUAUUUGUAACACUGUUGAUACUCUCUGUGUUAGUAUGUUGAUUCUUUAUACACGACAGCGUGGCUGAGGCCGCCAAUGCCCUGUACGAGACCGCCAAGAACACCGUCACACAGGUGUCGGCGGAGACCGAGGCCAUCUUCUCCAAACUCAGUGUCCUCACCGACCAACCCAGACUACCACAGAACAUCCUCCAACUCAUUGCUGACCACCACAACCUCCAGGAUUUCUUGAUUAAGGAGGCCAGGGAGGCGUUCAGUCAGACAAUCCGCACCCAUCAUCUGGGAUCCUCCAAAGCAGACGAAAAACUGGCUUCCUUCCUCCAGCAGAAAACCAACGCCAUUAAGCAGGCAGUGACGUCAAUUGGAAGUGCCGUGCAUGACGUUAUUGGUCACUUACAGAAUUCCGCCAAUUCUUCUCUAUCAAAAGAGGCCGUGGAGAAUAUCCUGCGUUCUGGCAUGGAGACGCUUGGAUUCGCCAUCGUCUUCGCUCAGGAAGAAAUCAAAGACGCCAUGUCACAUUGACACCUGAUAAACGUACUAAUUACAUAAUAACAAUACAAC